rnacentral:tRNA from 1 species
GCCGAGGUGGCGGAAGUGGUAGACGCGUAAGAUUCAGAAUCUUAUGAGUUAUGAACUCGUGCGGGUUCAAGUCCCGCCCUCGGCACCA